ACCUGCGGAGGGAUCAUUAAAGAGUUCUAUAACUCCCAAACCCAUGUGAACAUACCAUACGUUGCCUCGGCAGGUCGCGCCUACCCCGUAGCGUCCUACCCUAUAGGACCUACCCGGUAGACGCGGGUAAGCCUGCCGGCGGCCCAAGAAACUCUGUUUAGUAUUGAAUUCUGAACCUAUAACUAAAUAAGUUAAAACUUUCAACAACGGAUCUCUUGGUUCUGGCAUCGAUGAAGAACGCAGCGAAAUGCGAUAAGUAAUGUGAAUUGCAGAAUUCAGUGAAUCAUCGAAUCUUUGAACGCACAUUGCGCCCAUUAGUAUUCUAGUGGGCAUGCCUGUUCGAGCGUCAUUUCAACCCUUAAGCCCUCGUUGCUUAGUGUUGGGAGCCUACGGUACCCGUAGCUCCUCAAAGUUAGUGGCGGAGUCGGUUCACACUCUAGACGUAGUAAUUUUAUCUCGCCUAUCAGUUGGACCGGUCCCCUGCCGUAAAACACCCCCAAUUUCUAAAGGUUGACCUCGGAUCAGGUAGGAAUACCCGCUGAACUUAAGCAUAU
rnacentral:rRNA from 1 species